rnacentral:misc_RNA from 1 species
UUUUUUUUUUUUCAUCAAUGAUUCAAUGUUGUUCCACCAGCCCAAUCAGAUGGGGUUCCCUAACUGCAAGCGCACCAACCUAACCAACAAUCACUUAAUUACCGAUAGGUUUUUUUUUUUUUUUAAAUAUGCUUUUCGUGUGUGAGAUUUUCCUUCUCUGGAAGAAAAAUGAAAUUAUAAAGCUAAUUUGCUGUUGAUAUGGUUGCGGUAGCGUCUUGGUUGAAGUAUUAGUUUCACGUGGUCUUACCUUUUGAAUUAUGUUUGGUUUUGAGGAAAAGUUUUAGUAUGCCAUGAUUUGAAAACAUUACUAUGUUUGAUUCCCGAGAAAAUCGAGUGAACAAUGGUAGGGAAAAUUAUAAGAGGAUGGAAAUAGAAGAUUUUGUGGCCGAUACUAUUGUUUUAUGUACUUAUUGAAAUUAUUUGUAUUUUGCUGGAUUUUUUUUAUUGGUUUUGCUGUCCUUUAUUUUUUCUUAUUCCAUGUUUAUACAUUAAAUUUUCAUUACUGGCCUCACAAUCUUCAACCUCUUAAUUUUGCAGGUUUAUUUGA